rnacentral:rRNA from 1 species
AACGAACGCUGGCGGCAUGCCUAACACAUGCAAGUCGAACGAGACCUUCGGGUCUAGUGGCGCACGGGUGCGUAACGCGUGGGAACCUGCCCUUAGGUUCGGAAUAACUCCCCGAAAGGGGUGCUAAUACCGGAUAACGUCUUCGGACCAAAGAUUUAUCGCCUUUGGAUGGGCCCGCGUUGGAUUAGCUAGUUGGUAGGGUAAAAGCCUACCAAGGCGACGAUCCAUAGCUGGUCUGAGAGGAUGAUCAGCCACACUGGGACUGAGACACGGCCCAGACUCCUACGGGAAGCAGCAGUGGGGAAUAUUGGACAAUGGGCGAAAGCCUGACCCAGCAAUGCCGCGUGAGUGAUGAAGGCCUUAGGGUUGUAAAGCUCUUUUACCCGGGAUGAUAAUGACAGUACCGGGAGAAUAAGCUCCGGCUAACUCCGUG